AGCUAUUCUGCAGAAGGAUCCUACAUGCCCUGCGUUGUUCUUGCUGGCGAGACAGUAGCGCAGGACAGUCAUUGGCACCAGACAUCUAAGAAUAAGAUCUGUGUAGUAUUUAUUUUCCCCACAAACUGCUUUGAGGAAACCUUCCAGGACAAUGUGAGAUGGAGGUGGGAAGGGUAAAUAUUCCUGGUUUCUAUUUAACAUGCAGAAGUGUUGUCCUUUAAGGCUCUGCACAGGUGCUGCUUCCUUACACAAUAUGUUGUAUUCUCUACAUGCUGGAUAUUUUAAUUGUUUAUUAUCUCAUAUUCUGUCCAGUUCAUUGUCAACAGGUGUACAGAUUUGUAUUUUUCUUCCCUUUUAUAUUUUAUAUAUUUUAUUAUCAAAUAGACCCAAAGGAAUGAUUUUGUAAGUUAAAUAAUAACCUAUUUUUUUUAUAACUGCAGAUAUUCACAUGUUAAAUUUUCCUGAGCAGCCAGGAAAGGAAAUAAACAACAGGAUGACUUGGAACGGGAUACAGAGUCACUGAGCCUUCAUUACUCUCCUCAGCUGGACCGUGAAGCAAGUUUUUUCUUUUUUUUUGUGGGAUGAUGGAUAAUACAGGUGAAGAGUCAUUUUGAUCAUUGUGACAAAGGAAUGACACACAAGGGGAACUGGAUGCCUACUUCAUCCAAACUGUACAUCACUGAUACAUGAUCACAUCAUCCUGUUCAAGAUGAUUUUAGUCUAAGGCACUGAGGAGGUCCUUCUCUGCCUUCUCCUGAGAAGCUUUUGUUGAAGACAAGACCACAUACCUAGCUGAUGGAAUCCUGGGAAGAGGUUGAUGUGCAGAACCUGGACUUACAAAAUAGUCAGGUAUGCUGAAUGGAGGGGCAACAGCUUCUACUACAAUGGAAAUGCAUGGGAUCUCUGAUAAAUCAGGAAAUGUCUUCCUGCUUCCUAAGCCGCUGUAUCCCCUUUAAGAUACAUCAUCGUCAUUCAGCUUUGGAUUUUGGCUUUAUCUGCAAUGCAUGUGAUUCAUCUCAGCCAUCAGUAUCUAACCAAGAAGGAGACCUGCUGCUCUUUACACACCCUUCAUGGGUCUACUGUGUAGAUAAUUUUCUUUAAGUAAGUCUCUUAUAUGACAAUAUGAAACUCU